rnacentral:RNase_P_RNA from 1 species
CUUGACGGCCGGACGGUCGCGAGUACGCGAGUACGCGAGUAUUCGAGUAUUCGAGGAAAGUCCGGGCUCCAGCGGGCACGCUGCCAGGUAACACCUGGGCGGUAUCACACGAUGCCGACGGACAGUGCAACAGAAAGCAGACCGCCGAUGGCUUCGGUUCGCCGGAGCACAGGCAAGGGUGAAAUGGCGGGGUAAGAGCCCACCGCACGAUUGGCAACAGUCGUGGCUCGGUAAACCCCAGCGGGAGCAAGGUCAAAUAGGCAGCGAGGGGUGGCCCACCUCGAUCAAGACGCUGCGGGUAGGCUGCUCGAGAGUGCGGGUGACCGUACUCCUAGAGGAAUGACCGUCCGAGCGGAAACGCUCGACAGAACCCGGCUUACAGGCCGUCAGGAUAC